rnacentral:rRNA from 1 species
CUACGGGCCGCUGCAGUGGGGAAUAUUGCACAAUGGGGGAAACCCUGAUGCAGCAACGCCGCGUGGAGGAUGACACAUUUCGGUGCGUAAACUCCUUUUAUAGGUCAAGAUAAUGACGGUAGCCUAUGAAUAAGCGCCGGCUAACUCCGUGCCAGCAGCCGCGGUAAUACGGAGGGCGCAAGCGUUACUCGGAAUCACUGGGCGUAAAGAGCAUGUAGGCGGGUUAAUAAGUCAGAAGUGAAAUCCAAUAGCUCAACUAUUGAACUGCUUUUGAAACUGUUAACCUAGAGUGUGGGAGAGGUAGAUGGAAUUUCUGGUGUAGGGGUAAAAUCCGUGGAGAUCAGAAGGAAUACCGAUUGCGAAGGCGAUCUACUGGAACAUUACUGACGCUGAGAUGCGAAAGCGUGGGGAGCAAACAGGAUUAGAUACCCCUGUAGUC